CGACAACCCGACCUCUAGGGCUUUCAGAAGGCGACGAAGGAAGGGACGAUCGGUCGGGUGGGGCAGCUGAUGGAGAGGCUUGACGGCGGUGCAGUGGGGCCUGGUGGUGGUGUAUGUCCACCCUUCCAUCGCCAACAAGAUAUGAUGAAAUAUUUGAUGGCGUGAUAUUGGCUUAUGAAACUGAUAUUCCUAGAAAACGUGCAAAGAUCCUUUCGGGUCUAAGUCUAUACUUUGGAGUUAAGUGAAAGCAAAUUUACUGCUUUUUCCUCCUCGGCCAAACAUGUUAUUAGUUUGUAUGGCAGCCUGAGCCAUUCUUGCAAGAAAAGGGAAGUAAGUUGAUAUAAGUUAUGCCUGAUUCCUGAAGAAGCUGUUGAGACAAGGGGGAGCAGAUCAAGGAAAUGUAAUCUGUAGAAGAAAAAUUCUUAAAAGAGUUUUUAAUAUCAUGAGGACCAUUUUGAGCUUGUACCAAACUGCAUUAUUUGGUCGGUUUACAUCAUGAUACAGCCACCCCUUAUGCACAAGGCUAGCACCAUCAUUCUAAAGAAUUUUCAUAUUUUCGUAUGAAAGAAGUUGCAGAAGUAUCCGGAAAAUAAAAGUAACAAAACUUUGCCUGGAGUUGGUAGAACUUGAAACUUCACCUUUAGUAAAAUUUACUUCUCUGGAGAUGCCUUAACAUCACGGUAUGUCAUUUAUUUUUCUCAUCCCUCAUGUUUCACUCGUCCGCUUUGUAUCAGCCGAAGAAGGUAUCCUUUUAUAUUCAGCCAAUAUGUUUUUCCAUUUUCUGUAGCAUCUAUGCUAGUCAAAAUUAAUAGGAAGAGCAUAAAGAUUGUUCAGUGGAAUAAAAGUGUCAAACAUGAUUAAGGCUGGGUAAUUAUAGGUAUUUACUCACUUUUUUCUUUGACUCCUCUGGGAGCAUGUGACUUUGUGAAUAAGUAGGGUGUAUCUGACAUGCUAACACUGUACCGAUGUUGGAGAUGCUGAAAGUGUUCACAUACCACGACUAAUGAGUAUUUCCAUGCUUCAAUGUUUAUUAAGAAAAGGCUCAAUACUAACAUAUGGGACAGUUGACUAUAACGAUAUUGAGCCAUGCAGUUUGGACUGACUAUACUGUAAUGGUAUUGUGUGAUACAGUUUGGAUGAAGAAAUACUUAACAGAUCUGGAUCGUUGCUUCCGCCUGACACUGGAUGCAUCCGAGGGUUCUCUUAACAUGGUGUAGAAGAUGGACCACAUAUGGGCAGAAUAUAUGAAGAAGUUUGAAGAGGCUAAAGGAUGUUGGGAGGGAGCUGCAGGUAGAAGCUACCAUCCAGUCGGUUGAAGACAAGCUACUGAAUUCGCCGCACCCACACAAGUCUAGAAAAUAGACUCGUGAAAGAUCAGAAUUCUUCAGAGGGGCCUCUUUCUGGUGCAGUAUCGAUCGUGCAAGAUGAAAUACAUUUGACAAAGUCUCAUGUAUUUUGUGAAAUGCUGGCUGGCUGCCUGGGCAAGAGCACACAGUGGUGGCACAGUUUUGAGUUAAUUUUUUUCCGAGGGGUAGAUUGGUUCGAGGCUUUUGGUUUUCCGGUAUAUGGUGCGCAUCAUCAGUCUUCUUGUUUCCACAAGAAAGCCCGGUAAAUCGCUGGCGAAAAUGUGUUUUAAAGUUUCUUCACCAAACUCUCGAACAAAUUAUAGUUUCUGGUUAUUGUACGAUACGAAUGUUGCUCCCCUCCCUGUGGUGCUUAAACCUCAUUAUACUGGCAAUUGUUGGGCAUGUGAAUCAUCUUGA